rnacentral:rRNA from 1 species
CGGAGGAAAAGAAACUAACAAGGAUUCCCUCAGUAACGGCGAGUGAAGCGGGAAGAGCUCAAGCUUAAAAUCUCCACAUUUGUGGCGAAUUGUAGUCUAUUGAGGCUGUUGUCAGCACAGCGACUUGGGACAAGUCCCUUGGAAGAGGGCAGCAUGGAGGGUGAUACUCCCGUCUCUGCUCAAGUUGUCUGUGUGUACGAUACGCUUUCUUUGAGUCGAGUUGUUUGGGAAUACAGCUCAAAGUAGGUGGUAAAUUCCAUCUAAAGCUAAAUAUUGGUGCGAGACCGAUAGCGAACAAGUACCGUGAGGGAAAGAUGAAAAGAACUUUGAAAAGAGAGUUAAAGAGUACCUGAAACUGUUGAAAGGGAACCGUAUCGUUUCUAGUGUUUAUCCUAUGCAUAUUUCAUUGGCGGUUGCAAAAUUGCUGGUGCCCUGUGCAUGGGUGUGACGUCAGAGUCAGUUUAAAUUGCKGGAGAUGGGUAGGGAGGAGGUGCGUCACUUCGGUGAAAGUUACAGCUCUCUGCUUAGUAGCCGUGGUUAAGACUGAGGUGCCUACAACAUGCUUUGGGGUCUGCUGUUGUCUCGUUUUAGUGAUUGUCUGGAUAGCUUGCUAUGCUGGUGAUUAGUGAGGCGAUUGAUAAUAGUAGUAACCUCUGAUGUUCCGGGACUCUGGCGAAAUGGAGCGAUCGACCCGCUUGA